rnacentral:lncRNA from 1 species
UGUGGGUUUGUCAUAAAUAGCUCUUAUUAUUUUGAGAUAUGUUCCACCAAUACCUAGUUUAUUGAGAGUUUUUAGCAUGAAGAGGUGUUGAAUUUUAUCAAAGGCCUUUUCUGCAUCUACUGAGAUAAUCAUGUGGCUAUUGUUCUUGGUUCUGUUUAUGUGAUUGAUUGUGUUUAUUGAUUUGUGUAUGUUGAACCAGCCUUGUAUCCCAGGGCUGAAGCCGACCUGAUCGUGGUGGGUAAGCUUUUUGAUGUGCUGCUGGAUUCAGUUUGCCAGUAUUUUUCUGAGGAUUUUCACAUAGAUAUUCAUCAGAGAUAUUGGCCUGAAAUUUUCUUUUUUUGUUGUGUCUCUGCCAGGUUUUGGUAUCAGGAUGAUGCUGGCCUCAUAAAAUGAGUUAGGGAGGAGGCCCUCUUUUUGUAUUGUUUGGAAUAGUUUCAGAAGGAAUGGUACCAGCUCCUCUUUGUACCUCUGGUAGAAUUCAACUGUGAAUCUGGUCCUGGGCUUUUUUUGGUUGGUAGGCCAUUAAUUACUGCCUCAAUUUCAGAACUUGUUAUUGGUCUAUUCGGAGAUUCGACUUCUUCCUGGCUUAGUCUUUGGAGCAUGUAUGUGUCCAGGAAUUUAUCCAUUUCUUCUAGAUUUUCUAGUUUAUUUGCAUGGAGGUGUUUAAAGUAUUCUCUGAUGGUAGUUUGUAUUUCUGUGGAUCAGUGGUGAUAUCCCCUUUAUCAUUUUUUAUUGUGUCUAUUUGAUUCUUCUCUCUUUUCUUCUUUAUUAGUCUGGCUAGUGGUCUAUCUAUUUUGUUAAACUUUUCAAAAAACCAGCUCCUGGAUUCAUUGGUUUUUUGAAGGGAUUUUGUGUCUCUAUCUCCUUCAUUUCUGCUCUGAUCCUAGUUAUUUUUUUGUCUUCUGCUAGCUUUUGCAUUUGUUUGAUCUUGCUUCUCUAGUUCUUUUAAUUGUGAUGUUAGGGUGUCGAUUUUAGAUCUUUCCUGCUUUCUCUUGUGGGCAUUUAGUGCUAUAAAUUUCCCUCUAGCUGUGUCCCAGAGAUUCUGGUAUGUUGUGUCUUUGCUCUCAUCAGUUGCAAAGCACUUAUUUAUUUCUGUCUUAUUUUCGUUAUUUAUCCAGUAGUCAUUCAGGAGCAGGUUGUUCAGUUUCCAUGUAGUUGUGUGGUUUUGAGUGAGUUUCUUAAUCCUGAGUUCUAAUUUGAUUGCACUGUGGUCUGAGAAACUGUUUGUUAUGAUUUCCAUUCUUUUGCAUUUGCUAAGGAGUGUUUUACUUUCAAUUAUGUGGUCAAUUUUAGAAUAAGUGCCAUGUAGUGCUGAGAAGAAUGUAUAUUCUGUUGAUUUGGGGUGAAGAGUUCUGUAGAUGUCUAUUAGGUCUGCUUGAUCCAGAGCUGAGUUCAAGUCCUGAAUAUCCUUGUUAAUUUUCUGUCUCAUUGAUCUAAUAUUGAUGGUAGGGUGUUAAAGUCUCCCACUAUUAUUGUGUGGGAGUCUAAGUCUCUAUGUAGGUCUCUAAGAACUUGCUUUAUGAAUCUGGGUACUCCUGUAUUGGGUGCAUAUGUAUUUAUGAUAGUUAGCUCUUUUUGUUGCAUUAUUCCCUUUACCAUUAUGUAAUGCCCUUGUCUUUUUUAUCUUUGUUGGUUUAAAGUCUGUUUUAUCAAAGACUAGGAUUGUAACUCCUCCUUUUUUUAAUUGUUUUUAUUUUUUGAUUUCCAUUUGCUUGGUAAAUAUUCCUCCAUCCCUUUAUUUCAAGCCUAUGUGUGUCUUUGCACAUGAGACAAGUCUCCUGAAUACAGCACACUGAUGGGUCUUGACUCUAUCCAAUUUGCCAGUCUGUGUCUUUUAACUGGGGCAUUUCGCCCAUUUACAUUUAAGGUUGUUAUUGUUAUGUGUGAAUUUGAUCCUGUCAUUAUGAUGCUAGCUGGUUAUUUUGCCCGUUAGUUGAUGCAGUUUCUUUAUAGUGUUGAUGGUCUUUAUUUGGUAUGUUUUUGCAGUGGCUGGUACCAGUUUUUCCUUUCCAUAUUUAGUGCUUCCUUCGGGAGCUCUUGUAAGGCAGGCCUGGUAGUGAGACAAAAAUCUCUCAGCAUUUGCUUGUCUGUAGAGGAUUUUAUUUCUCCUUCGCUUACAAAGCUUAGUUUGGCUGGAUGUGAAAUUCUGGGUUGAAAAUUCUUUCUUUUUAAGAAUGUUGAAUAUUGGCCCCCACUCUCUUCUGGCUUUUAGGGUUUCUGCAGAGAGAUCUGCUGUUAGUCUGAUGGGCUUCCCUUUGUGGGUAACCCGAUCUUUCUCUCUGGGUGCCCUUAACAUUUUUUCCUUCAUUUCAGCCUCGGUGAAUCUGAUGAUUAUGUGUCUUGGGGUUGCUCUUCUUGAGAAGUAUCUUUGUGGUGUUCUCUGUAUUUCCUGAAUUUGAAUGUUGGCCUGUCUUGCUAGGUUGGGGAAGUUCUCCUGGAUAAUAUCCUGAAGAGUGUUUUCCAACUUGGUUACAUUCUCCCUGUCACUUUCAGGUACACCAAUCAAACAUAGGUUUGGUCUUUACACAUAGUCCCAUAUUUUCUGGAGGCUCUGUUUGUUCCUUUUCAUUCUUUUUUCUCUAAUAUUGUCUUCACGCUUUAUUUCAUUAAGUUGAUCUUCAAUCUCCAACAUCCUUUCUUCUGCUUGAUCGAUUUGGCUACUGAUACUUGUGUGUGCUUCACAAAGUUCUCAUGCUGUGAUUUGCAGCUCCAUCAGGCCAUUUAUGUUCUUCUCUAAACUGGUUAUUCUAGUUAGCAAUUCCUCUAACCUUUUUUCAAGGUUCUUAGCUUCCUUGCUUUGGGUUAGAACAUGCUCCUUUAGCUCAGAGGAAUUUGUUAUUACCCACCUUCUGAAGCCUUCUUCUGUCAGUUCAUCAAACUCGUUUUCCAUCCCUUGCUGGUGAGGAGUUGUGAUCCUUUGGAGGAGAAGAGGCCUUCUGGUUUUUGGAGUUUUCAGCCUUUUUGCACUGGUUUUUCCUCAUCUUUGUGGAUUUAACUACCUUUGGUCUUUGAUGUUGGUGACCUUUGGACGGGGUUUGUGUGGUCAUCCUGUGUGUUGACAUUGAUGCUAUUCCUUUCUGUUUGUUAGUUUUCCUUCUAACAGUCAGGCCCCUCUGCUGCAGGUCUGCUGGAGGUCCACUCCAGAACCUGUUUGCCUGGGGUAUCACCAGUGGAGGCUGCAGAAUAGCAGACUGCUGCCUGUUCCUUCCUCUGGAAGUUUUGUCCCAGAGGGGCAUUUGCCAAAUGCCAGCUGGAGCUCUCCUGUAUGAGGUGUCUGUCAACCCUGGCUGGGAAGUGUCUCCCAGUCAGGAGGCACAGGGGUCAGGGACCCACUUGAGGAGGCAGUCUGUCCCUUAGCAGAACUCAAGCUCUGUGCUGGGAGAUCUGCUGCUCACUUCAGCGUCACCAGGCAGGAACUUUUAAGUCUGCUGAAGCUGUGUCCGCAGCCACCCCUUCCCCCAGGUGCUCUAUCCCAGGUAGAGGAAAGUUUUAUCUAUAAGCCCCUGACUGGGGAUGCUGCCUUUCUUUCAGAGAUGCUCUGCUCAGAGAGGAAGAAUCUAGAGAGGUAGUCUGGCUACAGUGGCUUUGCCAAGCUGUGGUGGACUCUGCCCAGUUCAAACUUCCAGGCAGCUUUGUCUACAAGGUGCUAUCUCUAAAAAUAAAGAAAGAGCUGUCCUCAAACAAACAUAAACCUGCAAUAUGUAAUUUAGUACUACCUGCAUAAAGCAUAUAUUGAUUUUCUGUUACUGCUAUAAUAAAUUACCAUAAAUUUAGUGGCUUAAAACACUACAAACUUACAAUCUUACAGUUCUGUAGGUCAGAGUUCUGAAAUGGGUCUUUCAGGGCUAAAAUUAAGGUGUCAGUGAGGCUGCAUUUCUUCUGGAGGGUCUAGAGGAGAAUAUGUCUUCUUGCCUCUUCCAGCUCCUAGAAACCAACCAUAUUUCUUGGCUUAUGGCCCCUUCUUCCAUCUUCACAGCCAGCAGCUUUGCAUUGCUCUCUGACCAUUCUUCCAUAGCCACAUCUCCCUCAGACUCUCAUCUCAGAGGAAAGGUUCUUUUAAGAAUUCAUUUGAUGAAUUUGGGCUUAUUCAAAUAAUCCAGGAUGAUCUCCCCAUCUCAAGGUCCUCAACUUUUCUCACACCUGCAAAGUUCCUUUUGCCAUAUAAAGUAACAUAUUCACAGGUUCCAGAGAUUCAAAUGUGGACAUCUUGGAGACUCCAUUUUUCUUCCU